CAGUCGCCGCGGUAAUACGUAGGUGGCAAGCGUUGUCCGGAAUUAUUGGGCGUAAAGGGCUCGCAGGCGGUUUCUUAAGUCUGAUGUGAAAGCCCCCGGCUCAACCGGGGAGGGUCACUGGAAACUGGGAAACUUGAGUGCAGAAGAGGAGAGUGGAAUUCCACGUGUAGCGGUGAAAUGCGUAGAGAUGUGGAGGAACACCAGUGGCGAAGGCGACUCUCUGGUCUGUAACUGACGCUGAGGAGCGAAAGCGUGGGGAGCGAACAGGAUUAGAUACCCCUGUAGUCCCUGUCUCUUAUAC
rnacentral:rRNA from 1 species